rnacentral:rRNA from 1 species
AGUGUGAACCAGACCAAGUAGACGUGACAGGAUGACGGCCCAGGGUUGUAAACUGCUUUUGUAUGGGGAUGAAAGUCAAUCACGUGUGAUUGUUUGCAGGUACCAUACGAAUAAGGACCGGCUAAUUCCGUGCCAGCAGCCGCGGUAAUACGGAAGGUCCAGGCGUUAUCCGGAUUUAUUGGGUUUAAAGGGAGCGUAGGCCGGAGAUUAAGUGUGUUGUGAAAUGUAGACGCUCAACGUCUGACUUGCAGCGCAUACUGGUUUCCUUGAGUACGCACAACGUUGGCGGAAUUCGUCGUGUAGCGGUGAAAUGCUUAGAUAUGACGAAGAACUCCGAUUGCGAAGGCAGCUGACGGGAGCGCAACUGACGCCUAAGCUCCAAGGUGCGGGUAUCAAACAGGAUUAAAUACCCUGGUAGUUCGCACAGUAAACGAUGGAUGCCCGCUGUUGGUACCUGGUAUCAGCGGCUAAGCGAAAGCAUUAAGCAUCCCACCUGGGGAGUACGC